CUUCUCCUCCCUUCCUCACUUCUUCCUCUCCCCACCUCUCUUCCCUUUUCCCCUCAUCCACUCCUCACUUCUGCCUCUCCACUUCUACUCUUUUCUUCCUCCUCCUCCUCUCUUAGUGUAGUUACGUUUUUACCUCCAGAAGGUUUUAUGAGAUCAAAUUAUUUUAGAUGUUUGUAACCCGCCUGGUUAAAGGCCAAAUAAUAUUAAAUUUAUGUUGAAGCACUGUUUUAAUUCACAUUUUCAUAUGUAACUGGGUUUUACUUUGAAAAUCGUAAGUUUAUUUUGACGGGAAACAGGAAGUAGUAUGCAGAUAUGCAGAUAGCUCAACUUUGCUCACUGAUGCACAGAGCAUGGCCUUUUCUCUCACUUGUUGGGUGAAAAAAAUCUGUUUAGUGGGUGGGAGAACCGUCAAUGAAGUACUUUUAUUUUGCUGAAUCACCCCUGAGUUAUCUUCUUGGUCAGGUUUUUUGACUACAUGGAAAAGUGAUCCCAGUCUUGGCAUCCAAUGAGUUUGCUGAGAAGAUCCAUUGAUGGCGAGCCUCCAAGCCGAAUCGUGAGCCUCUACUACCCAUACAGCGGACCCUGUGGUGGAUGAGAGUACAGAGGUGCAGAGUGGGCAACAGGAGGAGGCGGACGCGCGGGGGGAGACUGUAACCGGUGCCCCGCUCCCGUCACAAAACACCGACAGCGCAGAUGAGGGGAGCGCAGAGGGGGACAGUGAGCAGUGUGAGGACGGAGAGGACAGGGAUGAGGAAGACAGGAGGCGGGGCCAGAAGAGCCCUCUCCUUACUCUAUUAAAGACCUCCUGGACGUCUCCCUCGGGAGGUGUUCUGGGCAUGUCCCAUUGGGAGGAGACCCCGGGGAAGACCCAGGACACGCUGGAGGGACUAUGUUUCUCGGCUGGCCUGGGAACGCCUUGGGGUUCCCCCAGAAGAGCUGGAAGAAGUGUGCAUGGAAAGGGAAGUCUGGGAGUCCCUGCUUAGACUGCUGCCUCCGCGACCCGGCCCCGGAUAAGCGGAAGAAAAUGGAAUGGAAUGAGUUUUUGGAUGUUACGUAUGGCAACAAAUCAGUUAAUGUGCAAGACUUCUUCCCCGAUGUUGAUGGCUUCAUUAAUUCAGUUAGGAAAUUAAAGAGGCAGGUGGGUGUCGAUCAGUUAAGCCAAAAGAAAAGGUACAGGUUGGCAAAGCUUGUAGGAAGGAUCAACAAGGGCAAAAAAGGAUCAGGGACCACUAAAUAGGAAUAAUGGGUGGUACACAUUGGUGUCUCUCUCUCUCAGCUUGUGUUCAUUUACUGUUCUCUUUGUUUUCUGUUUCCUUUUUCCUAUGGAGAGCCUCAGAAUAGGAACUUUGAACAUUAAUGGAGGCAGGAAUCAAGAGAAGCAAGCAGCAGUGGCAAAGAUGGGCAAACUUAAACACAUUGAUGUGUUACUCUUACAGGAGACACAUAGCACAGGGGACAAUGAGACAGACUGGAGCAGGGUUUGGUCAGGGCCCAUGUUCAUGAGCCAUGGGUCUAAUGUAAGUGCAGGAGUAGCAGUGCUCUUAUCUGAACGGCUGAGGCUGAGUAAUGCCCCUCACCUAGAAGUGGAGGGGGGCAGGCUGCAGGUGGUACAGGGGACAAAGGGGGGCACACUUUGUGUUCAUAAACAUCUAUGCACACAACUCACCUGUAAGCCGGACACAGCUAGUGCACACUCUGAACAGGCAGCUCAAAGGUUUUAACAGUGAGUCUGUGAUAUUAGUGGGCGGGGACUGGAAUUGUACAACACACCCUCAUGAUAGGAACACGGCAGAGCCCCAUCCAAGCUCUGCCGCUCUGCUGGCCAGUGUGCUGAGGGAGAAUGACCUCAUGAACACAUGGAGACAUGCCCCUACUGGCGAUUUAAUGUAAGGUUACUGCAGGAUAGUGGCUUCAUCCAGGCUUUCAGGGAGCUCUGGGAGCAGUGGAGGCAUAGGAAGACAGACUUUUGAAAACAUACUAAAGUGGUGGGAGGUGGGGAAGACUCAAAUAAAACUUUUUGUCCAUCAGUAUACACAACACUCAGAGAGGGAAGGGCUGGAGCAUUUGGAGAGGGAAGUGUCUCUCCUGGAGCAGGGGCUGAUCAGGGGCGCAGAGAGAGAGAGAAAAGGGGGCACUAGUUAAGGCUAAAGUUGUUGCACUGCGUGAUAUUGAUGCCCCUACAUGCCACUUUUUUAAUUUAGAAAAGAAAGGCAGAGCAGGGAGCAAUCUUAUGCACCUUAAAUCGGCUAAUGGGGAGGUCACCUCUGACCCAUCACUAAUGGAGCAGGAGGCCAUAACCUUCUACUCCGAAUUGUUUGCGGCUGGUCAGUGUGACGGGGAGAGCCAGGGGCAGAUGGUGGACGGGUUGCCUGAGCUGGAGGAGGCUGAGGCAGCAGCUCUGGCCUCGCCAGUCACUCAAGAGGAGGUGACCUCUGCAGUGCAGCAGCUCAGUUGUGGCCGAGCCCCGGGGAUUGAUGGGCUGCAUCCAGAGUUUUAUAAGAGUUUCUGGUCUGUGCUGGGGGAGGAUGUGCACAGUGUUUUUACAUCAGCUCUGGAUCUGGGUCAGCUCCCACGCAGUUGUACCAGAGCGGUCCUGGCCCUAUUGCCCAAGAAAGGUGACCUGACAUUACUAAAGAACUGGAGGCCAGUCUCUCUGCUCUACACAGACACCCGGGUCCCGGCGACGACUGUCCUGGGUCUCGGCGACGACUGUCCCGGCCCCAGCAGCGGUAGUGACAGCCCCGUGUCCCGGCGGCGGGUCUGUCAGUGUGUCCGCUCUUUGGUUCUCUUCUCGCCAUUUCCUGUGUGGAGCUUUAGGCUGAAGUAGCAGCUGCCGCUAAUCGUGAAGCUGCUACGAGUUGACGCAGCAGGUUGACGUGAGUGACAGGACAGUUGUCCAAUCAGACUACACUAAAACUGAGACUGUGAUGUCAUUGGUCUGGGCGCUAAAGUUUGUGCCCACAGCCCGAAGUGAAAUGCAUAAAUCGGGGCCACUGACACCGUCUGUACGGAGUUUAGGGAGACGGGCCAGUCCUAGAUCGCGAUGGGCCCUCAAAGUUCCGUGGGCCCCAGUGCAUCGCACCGCCUGCAUCGCCAAAUGCUACACGUCUGGACAAAAUAAUACAUUCAAAUUAGGGAGUCUAGUCCUAUAGCUCUGAAUGACAGCACAUGUUUUCCACCUGCUGUUUGGGAUUUAAACAAAGGAAUACAUGACAAAUAUACUGGACAAAAUGUGUCCAAAACCAGGCAGACGUGAUCCUGCAGAAAGAGAGGAGGAAGGGAAAAAUGUCAGAGUGACAAAAACAAUAUACAGUACAG